UACGAAGGGUGCUAGCGUUGUUCGGAAUUACUGGGCGUAAAGCGCGCGUAGGCGGCUUGUCAAGUCAGGGGUGAAAUCCCACAGCUUAACUGUGGAACUGCCCUUGAAACUGUCAAGCUAGAGUGUCGGAGGGGAUAGCGGAAUUGCUAAUGUAGAGGUGAAAUUCGUAGAUAUUAGCAGGAACACCGGUGGCGAAGGCGGCUAUCUGGACGACAACUGACGCUGAGGCGCGAAAGCGUGGGGAUCAAACAGG
rnacentral:rRNA from 1 species